rnacentral:rRNA from 1 species
UACGUAGGGUGCAAGCGUUGUCCGGAAUUAUUGGGCGUAAAGAGCUCGUAGGCGGUCUGUCGCGUCGGGGUGUGAAAAUCCAGGGCUUAACCCUGGACCUGCAUUCGAUACGGGCAGACUAGAGUUCGGUAGGGGAGACUGGAAUUCCUGGUGUAGCGGUGAAAUGCGCAGAUAUCAGGAGGAACACCAGCGGCGAAGGCGGCACUCUGGGCUGGAACUGAUGCUGAGGAGCGAAAGCGUGGGUAGCAAACAGG